CGCCUCCUCCGCCUCAGCCGCUACUGCAGCAGCCCGGUGCCUCCUGGAUCCAUGAAGAGAGCACCCUGCACGGCACGUCCCCCCGCCACGAUGGGCCGCGAGCUGAGCACUGCGUUGAUGUGUUGAUAUUGAGAUAUUUCAGUUAUCAAAUAUGAAUCAUGCAUUUGAUAUUUCUGGCCACUUUGCUCGGGAGCAUCCUUUCGCCUUGGCUUCAUCCAUCACUAGCGUCAUCCGGUCUUUCAUGUAUGUACGGUGGAAAUUGUCUUGCAGUUUCUCAAGGAGAAGGAGACAAGGUUGAGAGGGACGCAGUGCCAGCCGAGCUAACGCAACAGGCAACUGCAGCACCUGCUCCAGACAACACAACCCACCAUGCGGUAGAGCAUGUGAUCACCUACCCCUCGCGUUUGAUCUACUACCGGAACGAGGACUCGGAGAGCACCUAUCAUGACCUGGACACCAGGGCCAAGAACCAAGCCACAGAGGGGCAGGCAGUCCACCUCGCCCAAGCCAGUUUCCAGUUAGAGGCAUUCGGCACGCGAUAUGCUCUGGAUUUAUCAUUGAACACUGACUUGCUGUCGUCAGAUUACGUUGAGAUCCACUAUGAGGCGGGCAAACCUGUUUUGUCAAAGGGCGGUGAGCACUGCUACUACCACGGCCAGGUGAGGGGGAACGAUAACUCCCAUGUGGCCCUAUCUACCUGCAACGGGCUGCAUGGGAUGUUUGACGAUGGAGUCUAUGUGUAUCUAAUUGAGCCCUUGCAACAGACUCAUUCAAUCGAUUCAGCUGCAAGGCCACACAAACUAAGAAGAACCCUUUCCCUUCAGUGGGACAAUGAUUCAGAGGAAGAGGUUGAGGAAGAGGAGCAGCUCUUCUCCGACCUGGAUGACUUGUCCUGGCUGAAGCGCAGGAAAAAGCGAGCAAUGCCUCGGAAUGUAUUUGAGGAGAUGAAGUAUUUGGAGAUCAUGAUUGUCAGUGACCACAGUAUGUAUAAGCGACACAAGACCAAGCAGCACACGAGGAAUUUUGCCAAGUCGGUGGUGAAUUUUGUGGAUGCUAUCUUCAAAGAGCAACUACACACACGUGUGGUGCUGGUUGCUGUGGAGAUCUGGACGGACAAGGAUCAGAUCCCCGUCAGCGUGAGGCCGCUGGAGAUGCUGCGGGAUUUCUCCAAGUACCGACAGCAGAGCAUAAAGCACCAUGCCGACGUCGUGCACCUCUUCUCAAAUGUCACUUUCCACUAUCGCAGAAGCAGCGCGGCAUACUUUGGAGGCAUGUGCUCUGUGAGCCGAGGAGUAGGGGUCAACGAGUACGGCACCAGCUGGUCCAUGGCGGGGUCUCUGUCCCAGAGCCUGGCUCAGAACCUGGGUAUCCAGUGGGACCCAGCCUCCAAGAGAAAGGAAUGUGGUUGUGUUGACUCGUGGACUGGCUGCAUAAUGGAGGACACCGGGGUCCAGCACCCACGCAGAUUCUCCAAAUGCAGCAUCUCCGACUACAAGGAGUUCCUGCUGAAAGGUGGAGGCUCGUGUCUGUUCAACCGGCCGACCAAGCUGUUCGAGGCCACAGAAUGCGGUAAUGGGUUCGUGGAAGUGGGAGAGGAAUGCGACUGCGGAGCCAGAGCAGAGUGCUACAAGGACUGUUGCAAGAAGUGCUCCCUCGCCAACGGGGCGCACUGCAGUGACGGCCCGUGCUGCAAUAACACAUGUCUGUUUUAUCCACGAGGUUACAGUUGCCGCUACGCUGUGAACGACUGUGACAUCUCAGAGACCUGCUCCGGGGACUCUGGACAGUGCCCUCCCAAUCUUCAUAAACAAGACGGUUAUUACUGCCAGGUAAACAAGGGACGCUGCUACAGCGGAGAGUGCAAGACCAGAGAAAACCAGUGCAAAUACAUCUGGGGGUCAAAGGCCGGAGGGUCGGACAAGUUCUGCUAUGAGAAGCUGAACACGGAGGGCACGGAGAAGGGCAACUGUGGAAAAGAUGGAGACAAAUGGAUCCAGUGUAGCAAACAUGAUGUGUUCUGUGGUUACCUUUUGUGUACCAACAUCGGCCGCAACCCCCGCAUUGGCAUGAUGAAAGGAGACAUCACCCUAGCCUCCUUCAACCCUCAGGGCAGAAUGGUAGACUGCAGCGGGGGCCACGUCCUGUUGGACGAUGAGACGGAUCUAGGCUACGUGGAGGACGGGACUCCGUGUGGGCCGUCCAUGAUGUGCCUUGACCGAAAGUGUCUGCCAAUCCAGUCGCUCAAUAUGAGCACCUGCCCCAGUGGACCUAACGGACAGGUGUGCUCUGCCCAUGGGGUGUGCAACAAUGAAGCCGCGUGCACCUGUGACACCACCUGGGCAGGGACAGACUGUAGCAUGCCCGAUCCUCCUAAAGAGCCUGAGGCCACUCAGGACGAAGGACCCAAGGGUCCUAGUGCCACCAAUCUAAUAAUAGGCUCCAUCGCCGGAGCCAUCCUUGUGGCUGCCAUAGUGCUGGGGGGGACUGGAUGGGGCUUUAAUCCGUUACUCUUUGAGGGGUGAGAGACUUUAAAUGGAGUGGUGAGAGCGACACAGAGACAGAAGCCAGGAGCCUUUCUGUUGGCCUGCAGCCUUUGUGCCGUGGCCCCGGGGGCCACGCCCACCUGAGAUGGCCGGGCUCCGCCCUAGAGCAGAGCAGGAUUCUCGGACCCUGCCCACACCAGCUGCCAUUGCUGCCUGCUUCACAGACCUGAAAUGUGAAGAAACGACGAUACGACCCCAACGCUUCAGCCAUUUAACCCGAGGAGAGAUGGCGAGGAGGACUCCCUCAAGGCUUCCCUAGUUGGCUACCUGACAGCCGGACUGCACUUAUCGCUGCUGAUCCUCGGCAUUAGAUUUACUUGAAAAAGAGGACACAUAGUGGACAUUU